rnacentral:rRNA from 1 species
AGAGUUUGAUCAUGGCUCAGGAUGAACGCUAGCGGCAGGCUUAACACAUGCAAGUCGAGGGGCAGCGGGGUGUAGCAAUACGCUGCCAGCGACCGGCGCACGGGUGCGUAACGCGUAUGCAACCUACCCGAACAGGGGUAUAACGGAGGGAAACUUCCACUAAUCCCCCAUAUUGUUAUUCUUUCGCAUGUUAGAAUAACGAAAGGUUUUUUCUGGUUACGGAUGGGCAUGCGUGACAUUAGGUAGUUGGUAAGGCAACGGCUUACCAAGCCGACGAUGUCUAGGGGAGCUGAGAGGCUUAUCCCCCACACUGGUACUGAGACACGGACCAGACUCCUACGGGAGGCAGCAGUGAGGAAUAUUGGUCAAUGGAGGGAACUCUGAACCAGCCAUGCCCGCGUGGAGGAAGAAGGUCCUAUGGGUUGUAAACUCCUUUUGUUCCGGAGUAAUAAGGGGCAUGCGUGCCCUGAUGAGAGUACGGGACGAAUAAGCAUCGGCUAACUCCGUGCCAGCCGCCGC